rnacentral:tRNA from 2 species
GCUGGCAUAGCUCAGUUGGUAGAGCAGCUGACUUGUAAUCAGCAGGUCGGGGGUUCAAGUCCCUCUGCCAGCU